UACGAAGGGGGCUAGCGUUGCUCGGAAUCACUGGGCGUAAAGGGUGCGUAGGCGGGUCUUUAAGUCAGGGGUGAAAUCCUGGAGCUCAACUCCAGAACUGCCUUUGAUACUGAGGAUCUUGAGUUCGGGAGAGGUGAGUGGAACUGCGAGUGUAGAGGUGAAAUUCGUAGAUAUUCGCAAGAACACCAGUGGCGAAGGCGGCUCACUGGACCGGUAUUGACGCUGAGGUGCGAAAGCGUGGGGAGCAAACAGG
rnacentral:rRNA from 1 species